rnacentral:rRNA from 1 species
ACCCCAUGGAGCUUUAAACCCGAUGACACCCACUUACUCUAUACCCUUACAUAUUUUUUGACGAUGACCACUCGGUUUUAGGUUGGGGUGACCACGGAGUAUAAAACAACCUCCUUGAAUAAAGGAAAAAUGAUCCUCAUCAGAGAAAAACAUUUCCAAGAACUAAUAAACUAAUUUUUAAUGACCCGAUAUUCGAUCAACGAACCAAGUUACCCUGGGGAUAACAGCGCAAUCCACCUCAAGAGCUCCUAUCGACAGGUGGGUUUACGACCUCGAUGUUGGAUCAGGGUAUCCCAGUGGUGCAGCAGCUACUAAAGGUUCGUUUGUUCAACGAUUAAAACCCU